UACGUAGGGGGCGAGCGUUGUCCGGAUUUAUUGGGCGUAAGGAGCUCGUAGGCGGUUUGGUAAGUCGGAUGUGAAAUCUCCAGGCUCAACCUGGAGGGGUCAUUCGAGACUGCUAUGACUAGAGUUCGGUAGAGGAGUGUGGAAUUCCUGGUGGAGCGGUGAAAUGCGCAGAUAUCAGGAGGAACACCAGUGGCGAAGGCGGCUCACUGGCCCGAUACUGACGCUGAGGUGCGAAAGCGUGGGGAGCAAACAGG
rnacentral:rRNA from 1 species